GACUCCGUGGCUACAGAACGACGCUGGGCGGCAGGCCUAACACAUGCAAGUCGAGCGCGCCCGUUCGGGGUGAGCGGCGGACGGGUGAGUAACGCGUGGGAACGUGCCCUUUUCUACGGAAUAGUCUCGGGAAACGUGGGGGUAAUACCGUAUGUGCCCCGUUCGGGGGAAAGAUUUAUCGGCAAAGGAUCGGCCCGCGUUGGAUUAGGUAGUUGGUGGGGUAAUGGCCUACCAAGGCGACGACGGGUAGCCGGCCUGAGAGGGUGUCCGGCCACACUGGGACUGAGAUACGGCCCAGACUCCUACGGGAGGCAGCAGGUGGGGAAUAUUGCACAAUGGGCGCAAGCCUGAUGCAGCGACGCCGCGUGGGGGAUGACGGCCUUCGGGUUGUAAACCUCUUUCAGCAGGGACGAAGGGUGACUGACGGUACCUGUAGAAGAAGCACCGGCCAACUACGUG
rnacentral:rRNA from 1 species